AUUGAACGCUGGCGGCAGGCUUAACACAUGCAAGUCGAGCGGUAACAGGAGAAGCUUGCUUCUCGCUGACGAGCGGCGGACGGGUGAGUAAUACUUAGGAAUCUACCUAGUAGUGGGGGAUAGCUCGGGGAAACUCGAAUUAAUACCGCAUACGACCUACGGGAGAAAGGGGGCAACUUGUUGCUCUCGCUAUUAGAUGAGCCUAAGUCGGAUUAGCUAGAUGGUGGGGUAAAGGCCUACCAUGGCGACGAUCUGUAGCUGGUCUGAGAGGAUGAUCAGCCACACAGGGACUGAGACACGGCCCGGACUCCUACGGGAGGCAGCAGUGGGGAAUAUUGGACAAUGGGGGCAACCCUGAUCCAGCCAUGCCGCGUGUGUGAAGAAGGCCUUUUGGUUGUAAAGCACUUUAAGCAGUGAAGAAGACUCUAGGGUUAAUACCCUUAGACGAUGACAUUAGCUGCAGAAUAAGCACCGGCUAACUCUGUGCCAGCAGCCGCAGUAA
rnacentral:rRNA from 1 species